AUUGAACGCUGGCGGCAGGCUUAACACAUGCAAGUCGAGCGGAUGAAGGGAGCUUGCUCCUGGAUUCAGCGGCGGACGGGUGAGUAAUGCCUAGGAAUCUGCCUGGUAGUGGGGGAUAACGUCCGGAAACGGGCGCUAAUACCGCAUACGUCCUGAGGGAGAAAGUGGGGGAUCUUCGGACCUCACGCUAUCAGAUGAGCCUAGGUCGGAUUAGCUAGUUGGUGGGGUAAAGGCCUACCAAGGCGACGAUCCGUAACUGGUCUGAGAGGAUGAUCAGUCACACUGGAACUGAGACACGGUCCAGACUCCUACGGGAGGCAGCAGUGGGGAAUAUUGGACAAUGGGCGAAAGCCUGAUCCAGCCAUGCCGCGUGUGUGAAGAAGGUCUUCGGAUUGUAAAGCACUUUAAGUUGGGAGGAAGGGCAGUAAGUCAAUACCUUGCUGUUUUGACGUUACCAACAGAAUAAGCACCGGCUAACUUCGUG
rnacentral:rRNA from 1 species